rnacentral:rRNA from 1 species
GAUGAACGCUGGCGGCGUGCUUAAUACAUGCAAGUCGAACGAAGCACCUUGGACAGAAUCCUUCGGGAGGAAGACCAUUGUGACUGAGUGGCGGACGGGUGAGUAACGCGUGGGUAACCUGCCUUGUACAGGGGGAUAACAGUUGGAAACGACUGCUAAUACCGCAUAAGCGCACAGUACCGCAUGGUACGGUGUGAAAAACUCCGGUGGUACAAGAUGGACCCGCGUCUGAUUAGCUGGUUGGUGAGGUAACGGCCCACCAAGGCGACGAUCAGUAGCCGACUUGAGAGAGUGAUCGGCCACAUUGGGACUGAGACACGGCCCAAACUCCCACGGGAGGCAGGAGUAGGGAAUAUUGCACAAUGGGGGAAACCCUGAUGCAGCGACGCCGCGUGAAGGAAGAAGUAUUUCGGUAUGUAAGCUUCUAUCAGCAAGGAAGAAAAUGACGGUACUUGACUAAGAAGCCCCGGCUAAAUACGUGCCAGCAGCCGCCGUAAAAC